rnacentral:rRNA from 1 species
UACGUAGGGUGCGAGCGUUGUCCGGAUUUAUUGGGCGUAAAGAGCGUGUAGGCGGCUUCACAGGUCCGCUGUGAAAACUCGAGGCUCAACCUCGAGCUGUCGGUGGAAACCGUGUGGCUAGAGUCCGGAAGAGGAGAGUGGAAUUCCCGGUGUAGCGGUGAAAUGCGCAGAUAUCGGGAAGAACACCUGUGGCGAAGGCGGCUCUCUGGGACGGUACUGACGCUGAGACGCGAAAGCGUGGGGAGCGAACAGG